GAAUUUUGGACAUUGGGCGAAAGCCUGAUCCAGCAAUGCCGCGUGCAGGAUAAAGGCCUUCUGGUUGUAAUCUUCUUUUGUACGGAACGAAACGCUUUCUGUUAAUACACUGGAGCCAUUACCGUACCGUAAGAAUAAGUACCCGUUAACUACGUGCCAGCAGCCGCGGUAAUACGUAGGGUGCAAGCGUUAAUCGGAAUUACUGGGCGUAAAGCGUGCGCAGGCGGUUUUGUAAGACAGAGGUGAAAUCCCCGGGCUCAACCUGGGAACUGCCUUUGUGACUGCAAGGCUAGAGUACGGCAGAGGGGGGUGGAAUUCCGCGUGUAGCAGUGAAAUGCGUAGAUAUGCGGAGGAACACCGAUGGCGAAGGCAACCCCCUGGGCCUGUACUGACGCUCAUGCACGAAAGCGUGGGGAGCAAACAGG
rnacentral:rRNA from 1 species